rnacentral:rRNA from 2 species
CGUAGGUGACCUGCGGAGGAUCAUU